AGCUAACCAUGAUUCCAAGUGUCUGGACAGUGAAUUCUCUACUGGAAACUUACCGUGCAUUUACAACUUCUCAGGAAACAGCCAGUGAAAUGAGGACUCCUGUAGAGACAAGAGUCCAGGCUUUGCAUUAUCCAUUUGAUGUUUAUCAGAGAGUAGCUUCUCUGUUUACUUGCCUAUAACAGAAAACAAAACAACAGCUUUCAUCUCACUGACUAUGAAAUGGGGGAAGGUGAAAAUCAGAGCAGAGUGUGCGCUGCAUAAAUAUUUUAACUAAGAUGGAUGCUGAUUCUAUAUACCAAUAUGUUCCGGAUGACAUUGAGACUGAGGUUCGCCUAAACAUCAUGAAACCAGGGAUUUGCAGUAAACUUAUAUAGCUUGACUCUUAUUCCUUACUUUUCCAUGGGAUAUACAGUGACGGAAGAAUCAACAAAGUAAAAGCCAUAUGAAAUCUCUAGAAGAUUUACUAGAGGGUGGUUUAUAAAAAGCAUGUCCAUGAUACAUAUGAAAAUAGCUUGGCUGUAAACACACCUGCUCCUAAGACUUAUAUUGAGUAUACAUAUUUGGUUUUGAAUUUUAAAUUUAAUGAGGCAUCUAGUAAGAAAUUUGGUCAAGAAUUUGAAAGAAAUAGCAAGUGACCUUUGGAUUGAACUGGAAAGAACAUUGCCUUAAGAACAAAGCAACAGGAUACAGAGAAAUGGAUUGCAAAAGUGAGCACCCACAUUUGCUGAGAAAUUACAAAUGGGGUCAAAUUUGUUGAUAGUUUCUUUUCUUAUAAUAGAAAGAUAGGGCUGCGAGUUGUAGCUCAUGGACAGUAGAAAUGUUUAGCUUGCAAAAGUCACUAGGUUCAUUCUUUAGAACCCCAAUUUAAUACAAAUAAAAACAUGAAUUUA